UACGAAAGGGUGCAAACGUUGCUCGGAAUUAUUGGGGCGUAAAGCGCACGUAGGCGGCGUGACAAGUCACUUGUGAAAUCUCCGGGCUUAACUCGGAACGGUCAAGUGAUACUGUCGUGCUAGAGUACAGAAGGGGCAACUGGAAUUCUCGGUGUAGCGGUGAAAUCCGUAGAUAUCGGGAGGAAUACCAGCGGCGAAGGCGGCCUUCUGGACGGGUGACUGACGGCGUGAGACGGCGAAAGCGUGGGGAGCAAACAGG
rnacentral:rRNA from 1 species